rnacentral:rRNA from 1 species
UACGUAGGGUGCAAGCGUUGUCCGGAAUUAUUGGGCGUAAAGAGCGUGUAGGCGGCCAUGUAGGUCCGGUGUGAAACUCGAGGCUUAACCUCGAGAUGUCAUCGGAAACCAUUUGGCUAGAGUCCGGAAGAGGAGAGUGGAAUUCCUGGUGUAGCGGUGAAAUGCGCAGAUAUCAGGAAGAACACCAAUGGCGAAAGCAGCUCUCUGGGACGGUACUGACGCUGAGACGCGAAAGCGUGGGGAGCGAACAGG